GUAUGCGAUCAUAUUAGUACUAAUGCAUCGGAUCCCAUCGGAACUCCGAAGUUAGGCAUGCUUGGGCGAGAAUGGUACUAAGACGAGCUUUGUCGCAGGACUUCCACAGACACAGGCU
rnacentral:rRNA from 1 species